GUGCCAGCAGCCGCGGUAAAACGUAGGACGCAAGCGUUAUCCGGAAUUACUGGGCGUAAAGCGCGUGUAGGUGGUUUUAUAAGUCACUGUUGAAAGCUCCCGGCUAAACUGGGAGAGGUGCGGUGAGACUGUAGAGCUAGAGUUUGGGAGAGGGGUGCGGAAUUCCGGGUGUAGUGGUGAAAUGCGUAGAGAUCCGGAGGAACACCAGAGGCGAAGGCGGCACCCUGGCCUAAUACUGACACUGAGACGCGAAAGCAUGGGGAGCGAACGGGAUUAGAAACCCCAGUAGUCC
rnacentral:rRNA from 1 species